GACGAACGCUGGCGGCGUGCUUAACACAUGCAAGUCGAACGGAAAGGCCCUGCUUUUGUGGGGUGCUCGAGUGGCGAACGGGUGAGUAACACGUGAGUAACCUGCCCUUGACUUUGGGAUAACUUCAGGAAACUGGGGCUAAUACCGGAUAGGAGCUCCUGCUGCAUGGUGGGGGUUGGAAAGUUUCGGCGGUUGGGGAUGGACGCGCGGCUUAUCAGCUUGUUGGUGGGGUAGUGGCUUACCAAGGCUUUGACGGGUAGCCGGCCUGAGAGGGUGACCGGCCACAUUGGGACUGAGAUACGGCCCAGACUCCUACGGGAGGCAGCAGUGGGGAAUAUUGCACAAUGGGCGGAAGCCUGAUGCAGCAACGCCGCGUGCGGGAUGACGGCCUGCGGGUUGUAAACCGCUUUCGCCUGUGACGAAGCGGGAGUGACGGUAAUGGGUAAAGAAGCACCGGCUAACCACGUG
rnacentral:rRNA from 1 species